rnacentral:rRNA from 1 species
UACUAGCGGUCCAAGUCGCAGCCAUUUUUAUUGGGUCUAAAACAUCCGUAGCUUGCUUGAUAAGUUUCUUGUGAAAUCCUAUGUCUUAAACAUGGGGCGUGCAGGAAGUACUGUCAAGCUAGAGACUGGAAGACGUAAGAAGUAUGUUCAAAGUAGUGGUAAAAUACUUUAAUCUUGAACAGACUCACAAUAGCGAAGGCAUCUUACGAGGACAGUUCUGACAGUAAGGGAUGAAGGCUAGGGUCGCAAAACGGAUUAGAUACCCGCGUA